GAUGAAGAACGUAGCGAAAUGCGAUAAGUAGUGUGAAUUGCAGAAUUCAGUGAAUCAUCGAAUCUUUGAACGCACAUUGCGCCCUUUGGUAUUCCAAAGGGCAUGCCUGUUCGAGCGUCAUUUGUACCCUCAAGCUUUGCUUGGUGUUGGGCGUCUUGUCUCUAGCUUUGCUGGAGACUCGCCUUAAAGUAAUUCGCAGCCGGCCUACUGGUUUCGGAGCGCAGCACAAGUCGCACUCUCUAUCAGCAAAGGUCUAGCAUCCAUUAAGCCUUUUUUUCAACUUUUGACCUCGGAUCAGGUAGGGAUACCCGCUGAACUUAAGCAUAUCAAUAAGCGGAGG
rnacentral:misc_RNA from 1 species